UGUCACGAUAACCGGGUUUUGUCAGUUUUUCUCAUUGUCGUUAAAAACUGAAUGGCGACUCCUAUAUUACUAGUCAAUUGGGUGUAAACUCACAGGAAAUCCAAUUACACUUGAUUUGACAAAAAGAAACGUCACACCCACGAGGGACGAGGUCACGCAUUAGCCUCGUGCUUUUUCGACCCCCUCACACUCUCCAAGAUUUCUGGGGAAAAAGAUGGAAUCUCUUGGUAACCAACAUUCUCAGGUCUACGCUGUACCUCCCCACAUUGAAAAUUUCCUCCAGAGUCAUCGGCCGUGAGGCGGCCCGGCUUCCGGCGGUGAUGGCGACGUUCAUUGUGUCGGCGCUAAUGCAUGAGCUCAUCUUCUACUAUCUUAGACGCUUGGCUCCCAAUUUUGAGGCGACGUGGUUCUUUCUACUUCAUGGAUUCUGCCUUUGCGUUGAGAUCACUUUUAAAAGUAUGGAAGACAGAGAAAAUGGCGGGUUCCCCCACGGUGGUUUUCCGGUGUUGCAACGGCGGUGUUUGUGGUGGAAACAGGGUUUUGACUGUUCUUGCCGCCAUUGUUGAAGGCUGGGUUGGAUACAAGGGGGCUUGGGGAGUACGCAGUUAUCGGUGCGUAUGCUAAACGAGUGCUGUUUUAGAUCUUUAUUCGCGGCACAUUUGUUUGGACUUCAGAGAUUGUUUUUUUACGGGGAAAAAAAAAGAAAAAAAAAUUGUAAAUUUUUUUAAAUUAUGAGGGUUUGUCCAAUUUUCAUUUCUUUUUAAAUUUGUAAAAUAAUGUAAAGAUUUUCCCUCUAUAGUCCAAUUUUCCAAUUAAUUUAACUGACUAUUCUUGGUGCGGAUGAGUGAAAAUGAAAAAUACAAAUUCCUGUUAAAAAAAGAAGAAGUUACAAAUGAAUGACAGAGAUUCAAACUUAAUGUUGGAUGGAGAUUCAAAUCUGUGACAUAUUGUAUGUAGUAUUUCAACUUUACUACUUUAGUCCCUACCCUAAAAUAUCAUUAAUUGUUAAUUUGACAUGUUUUGUUAGUACUCCAUAGCUUAUAAAUAACGAAGGUACUAAAUGUAGUACGAAAUAUCCUAAAUGCAGAACUAUUUAAUGACUUUAAAAAUAAAAGAAAGACAAAAAUACCCAAUAAAAUUUUAUAGCCUCCAAAACUAAAAAUAAAAAACCCUUGUCUUUCAGACGCGACUAGUCGCCGGUUACUUCUCAUUCAUCUUCUUCCUUGGGUUUUCACCUUGUAGACUCCAUUGAUGCUCCCUUAUGUCUCUUGAAGGUAUAUUGUAUCUUGCUCAAAUAGUUUUUUUCAGUUUAUUUUGCCUAAUAAUAGUCUGUAAUUUGGUGGAUGAAAUAAUGGGCAAGUUUACCGGCAGUGUAGUUAGGGUGCCGGAUAUCGGAUCCGGCGGUCUUGUUUGGGUGUCGGAUAUCCUAUCCGGCGGUGCGGUAUGGGUGCCAAAAAUCCUAUCCGGCGGGGCAGUUAGGGUGCCGAAAAUCCUAUCCGGCAAGGCAGUUAGGGUGCCGAAAAUCCUAUCCGGCGGGGCAGUUAGGGUGCCGGAUAUCCUGUCUGCCGGUCCAGUUUGAGUGCCAGAAUAAACUUUCGGCGUCCCAGAAAUCAGGUACCUGCAGAGGUUCCUGCUGUGGAGAAAUAACGGUGGGUCCUAAACGAUUUCGAUAUCGGAAAGCCUUUUGGUCGAGGAAAGUUUGGCCAUGUCUACUUGGCUGGAGAGAAGAGAAUAAACGGUCUUGCAAAGCAAAUGAAACAAAUGUAUCGCCCAAGCCCAGCUCCAAAGUUGAACCAGAGGAUCAUUUCAUCGAUGUCAAGGAGAUCGUUGCUGCCCAGACUUGGCAUGAUCUCGGGAUUGGCGUGAACAUGUGAAGCGCAGGAGAGCUAAGAAAGAAGUUGUUGGGGGUCCAAGCAACCUGAUUUAAGUGAACUUUUUAGACAUUUCUCUUGGAUGGAAGGCAAUGUCAUGUAGACUAAAAUCUGAUUCAUCUUUGGAGAUUUCUGUAUGUUAGUUUGUUGUGUUUUGCUAAUUCUCUGGAUGUUGUGCCUUUUUAUUGUUUGGUGCAAAAUCGGAAGGUAGCAGUAGCUAUGGGGUCCUGAAUCUUCCAAGGCUGGAAAAGGUCAGUUUUUUUGCAUUUUGGAAUUUCUGAAAUUUGAAAAAAAAGGUUAAAAAGUUGCACAUUUGAAUUUUUUGAAUGUUGAUUGAUUGGUGAUAUCGGUGUUGUUGAUUUGGUGAAUUUGCAUUUGAUUCAAUUUGCGAUUAACUGGUUGAUAUUUUGAUUUCUGUUUCGGUGUCCGAUGGCUGGAAAAAUAAGACGUUUUGGAUUGAAUUAGGUUAAAUUUGGAUUACAUGGAAAUUGUGUCAGAACUGAUCUCCUUUCAGGGCAUUGAAUUAGUAUUUCUGCUUAUUCUCUCUCGCAUUGUCUACCAAACAAAGGGCAAGGAAACGUCUGAUAAAAUUUACAUUUCUUGUUUUUUUUGGCAAGCUUCUCAAUCUUUCUCCUCUGCUCUCAGCUUCGUAAGUUCUUGAUUUAUAGUUUGCAAAUACUUUUAGAUUUUUAGAGAUUUUCUAUGGAAUGUUGAUUACAGAUGGGAUCCUCUAAUUAUAAAUUUUUAAUUAUAGUUUUUGUUAUGUAAUUGAUUGUUCCUAAUUUAUGUUUUAAUUUUUUAGGCAGGUCCUUAUGAAUGGCUUAGUUAUAAAGAGGCGUAUGAUUCAACGCUUAAAAUCGGCUCAGCUAUUAGGAAAUGUGGAGUUAAUCCCGUAUUUUCAGCCAAGUAGAUUGUGCUAUCAAGAUACUCAACAUAGAGAUUAAGUUGGAUUCCGUAGUUUGUAUAAUAAAAAUUCGUAAAGAGCUGGAGAAAUAUGUUUAGUUACUUUGGUACUAAGAUUUUGAUUUUUAAUUAUGUAAGCACAUGAAUAAAUUUUGUUACUAUUUAUAAUUUUUUAAAUAGGGACGAUUAAUUUU